CGGAGUGUGGCGCAGCCCGGUAGCGCACUUGCAUGGGGUGCAAGGGGCCGUGGGUUCAAAUCCCGCCACUCCGACCA
rnacentral:tRNA from 1 species